UCACGUGCAACCCGUGCAACGUACUCUUUGCGUACUUUAUUUACUCUAUGCGUGCAGUAUUGCUGUUAUGUGACGUAAAUGAUGACGAAAAUGUAAGCAUUUAAUGUUUUUAUAUCUUAAAAAUUAGUUUACCGGCCGUAGGUUUUUAGUAAUAGGAUUGCAGUAAUCUUGCUGGAGGAACAAUUUUUGUUUUUGCCAGAAUCUUUCAGCAUGAAAGUAUUUCAUGUCACAGUGUCUGAGGUGUGUUGAGUGUAAUUCUUUGUGGAGGUGGUUUUGGCUGAUGCUGCUGAUGCAACAAAGACUGCAAGAGCGAAUCACGAAGCUUCAAGUUUGCUUCACGAAGUUAACUACAUGUCACGUGCAGGAGAACAAAUACAAAAAUAUAUGACGUGCACAUCGUCGUAUGGUCACAGUGAUUCAGACACUUCUGAUGAUUGUGAAGAACAAUUUGUGGUGAAGAUCAAUUUAGUGUGUAAUAGUGGCUUUCAAAAGCAGAAGGAAUCAUCAACUGGUGAUAAGUCUGCUCACUUGAAUGAGGCAGACAACAGCCUUGCAUGCAAAGAAACCCAGAAUUUCACAUGCAAACAAUGUGGUGAAUUGUUCCACAGAAAAACUGCUCUGGUGGCACAUAGUAGGACUCACUCUGUUAAGCAACCCUUCAGGUGCAAACAUUGUGGUGAAUUGUUCCACCAAAAAACAGCUCUGACCGCACAUAGUAGGACUCACUCUGUUAGGCACCCCUUCAGCUGCAAACUGUGCAGUAAGACAUUCCACAAGAAAAGUAGUCUACUGGUUCACUACAAGACUCACUCAGGUGUGCUUCUUUUCAACUGCAAUUCAUGUGAUGAAUCAUUUGAGCGAAGGAGCGAUCUUUCUGCACAUAACAAGACUCAUUCUGGUGUGCAUCCAUUCAGCUGUGAACUGUGUAGUAAGUCAUUCAAACAAAAACAUAAGCUAGUUGAACACUACAAGACUCACUCACAGGAUCGUCCGUUCAAGUGCACAUUGUGCGACGAAUCAUUCGUGCAAAAAACUAAGCUUGUGGCCCAUUACAGCACUCAUGCAGGGGAGAGUACUUUCACUUGCAAUUUUUGCAAUAAGGCAUUUAACCAGAAAAGUGAACUUGCUGAACACAAACUGACUCACGCAGGAGAGCGGCCUUUCUGCUGUUCGCAGUGCAGCAAGUCGUUUACCAUCGAGGGUCAGCUCAACCGUCACAUGCGAUCUCACACUUCGGAGCGCCCCUUCAGCUGUAGCCACUGUGGUAAAUCAUUCAAUCGAAAAAGUAACCUGGCGGUGCACAUCGGAACACAUAAGUUAGCAUGAGUUCAGCUGAAAUGAAGCCACGUGGGGAGAAGUAUCGACCAAAGCGCCGGGCGGUCUCGUCCAAAAGAUUUGCCGCAAUUGGUCUUUUGGAUUGGGAGAUUUUCAUUGCUCGCCAUAGGUCUGUCUUGUGUGGAACAUUGGCACUGUCCACUGGUUUCAGUUUGUAUUUUAUAAAUUAACAAGGUAUUUUCUUUGUUUCAUUAAAGAAAAGUGUAAUAAUCAUUUCAAAGAUAAUUACUGUAUGACCUAUUUACAUUUGUUAAAAGUAAUCACAAGUAUAAAUUUUUCGUUAGUGCUAUAAA